rfam:Picea glauca, whole genome shotgun sequence.
ACAUGCCUACAACAUAGCAUUAAUGCAGCGGAUCCCAUUAAAACUUUGUAGUUAAGCAUGCUCAAGAUAGAGUAGUACUGGGAUGGGUGACCUCGUGGGAAUUCCUAGUUUCUUACAUGCC